rnacentral:rRNA from 1 species
CGUGUAGGCGGGUCGACAAGUUGGAUGUGAAAUGUACCGGCUCAACUGGUACGCUGCAACCAAAACUGUCGAUCUUGAGUGUUGGAGAGGAUAGUGGAAUUCCUAGUGUAGCGGUAAAAUGCGUAGAUAUUAGGAGGAACACCAGUGGCGAAGGCGGCUAUCUGGACAACAACUGACGCUGAGGCGCGAAAGCGUGGGGAGCAAACA